UGGGGAAUAUUGGACAAUGGGCGAAAGCCUGAUCCAGCCAUGCCGCGUGUGUGAAGAAGGCCUUCGGGUUGUAAAGCACUUUAAGCGAGGAGGAAGGUUCGUCACCUAAUACGUGGCGGAAUUGACGUUACUCGCAGAAUAAGCACCGGCUAACUCUGUGCCAGCAGCCGCGGUAAUACAGAGGGUGCAAGCGUUAAUCGGAAUUACUGGGCGUAAAGCGCGCGUAGGCGGUUGUGUAAGUUGGAUGUGAAAUCCCCGGGCUUAACCUGGGCACUGCAUUCAAAACUGCACGGCUAGAGUAUUGGAGAGGAAGGUAGAAUUCCAGGUGUAGCGGUGAAAUGCGUAGAGAU
rnacentral:rRNA from 1 species